UGAGGCGCAUUUUAAUGAUGUCACUUGGAACUAAAUGGAAAGAAGCAAAGCAUGAAGCAAAAACUAGUGGAUAUGAUCCGUACGAUACUGAUAUUGAACGGUUAGCUCAUUGUCCAGAUAAUGUUGAAGAAGAUCAGUGGCGAUCUCUAGUUCAUUAUUGGAGCUCAGAGAAUGCACAGGAAAAGAGCAAGAGAAACAAAGAAAGUCAAAAAAAGCUGACCAUGCCACACACAUCAGGAAGAAAAAGUCAUGCUCAAAUUAUAGAUGAGAUGAAAAAGAAGAAUAGUGGUGUAAAGCCAACCCGUAUUUAGGUAUUCAGAAAAACUCACACGAGAGAGAAUACACAACCAGUGAAUGAGAUUGUCGGUGAAGUUAUGAUAAAUUUUGAUUCUUUAUAAGUAUUUUGGAACUUUUAUUCUAUUGCAAUUUUCUUUAACUUUUCGUUGCUUGACUUUUCUUUCAACAAGAAACAAAUGGAUGAUAUCGCUGAGGUGCAUCCCGAGUUAAAUAUCCCUGGAAGUGUUCCCAAUGAUGUGUACUCAAAAGUAAUAGGACCAGACACUCAUGGGAUUGUCCGAACUUUAGGAAAGAGAGCAACUCCAAGUUUCGUUUAUGGUCCUGUAUAUAAACGAGCUCAAGCUGAAAAAAGAGAUUUUGAUGCACGGGUUGAGUUGGAAGUUCAAAAAGCUUCCUCAGCUAUGAAAAUUGAGAUGGCGGAAAAGUUGGCUGAAGCACAAAAAGAAAUAGAAGCUAUGGAUAAAAAGUUGUCUGAAGCAAAAGAAGAAGCAAAAGAGGAUAAGAAGCAGUGGAGAGAAAAUUAUCGGAAGCAAAAAUAGACAUGGAAGUAAUUAUAUCAGAUAAAGUAAAGGCAGGUGUACAAGCAUAUCUAGAGUCUUUGGGUAUUACUAUUGAUGCAUAUACAAAAUCAGGACAGGCUUCUGAUAACUGAAUUGAAGAUCGUCAACAACCGUUAUCACCCAUUUCAUUUGUUCAGACAAAAAAGGCUAAGAUGAUCAAGAAGACUGGAACUAGUGUAGUUGACACAAAUAAACGAAAGUGGAGCUUUUCAGGGAAUUGAGGUCAAUUACUAGCUGCUAUGAAAUGCCCUCAACUUGUGGAUUGGUGAUUUCAUAAAGUUUUAUUGCAGAUUUUAUCUUAGAAUUUAAUGAAAUUGAUUUGAAUUAGGCGUUAAAGUUGGUUGCAUGUUGAAACUAUUAUAUUUAUAUUUCAUUUUUACUUAGAUCAUUUGAUUUGA